rnacentral:lncRNA from 1 species
CAACAUUUUAUUUUAUAUCUGAAUGUGGUUUCAGGAUCAGUAACGAAAAAAACACAACCAUGAUCAAAAUUGCUCAUGAAUCCACUUUUCCUUAAAACCUGUAAUAAACCCAAAAAUGAAGUGUUUUUGAUCAUGAAUCCACUUUUCCUUAAAACCUGUAAUAAACCCAAAAAUGAAGUGUUCAUAUUUACAGACCCACGUACACACAAAUAAACUUGUAUCCAACCAUAUUUACCAAUAAUAUUCCCAAACGACCACAACAAUCAAAUGGCAUAAACACAUGCACUCGUAUAUCUACAAAUCUGCGCAUUCAACACCAAAUGAUUCUUUAGAUUCUAAAGGGUUACAACUUUUACUUGCAAAACUGAAAUAACAACAAACCCAUAACUUUUACUUGCAAGGCCAAGAUAGCAACAACACAACUCGAAAUCAAAAUUAAAUUUUGUAUUCGACAGAAUCAACAACAGAUGAAAAGGACGAAAACAAAACAAGAAGGGAGCGAGUUCGGAUCUUUUUUUGGACAGCAAACUCGGGAUCAACGUAAGACUCCUUUUCGGCCAAUAACUCAAAGUCCCGAAAGCUCAAAAUUUUACCCCCAAAAACGAAAAAUGAAAAACAAAGAAGAUAGCAGUGACUACAACAACUUGAUUUUUCCCUUGUUUUACUCCUUUUCCUUAUACCCACUACGAUUUUUGACCUUCAACGCUAUUUUUCUUUCUUUUUUGGUUUUUCCUGCUCUUUCACAUAAUUUUUUCUCAUGAAUUUCUUUUGCCUAUCUCACCUAUUUCUUUUUCUUUUUCUUUUUCUUCUCACAUAGCCGAAACUUCUCACAAAUAUUUUUUCUUUGCUCUCCAAUCUUGAACCUUGUCCUAUAGAGGUGGACAAGCCACUAUUUAUAGGAGCAAAUACGGACUUGAAAGUCCGAAUUUGAAACCUUAAAAUAUAAAAUGGGAAAGAAGAAGGACGAAAUUUGAAUUCAAAUCACAAAAGAAUCUACAAACCUUAACUUUUCCAGGGCAUUAAUGGUGGAUUUGAAAUCAACAAUAGAUUAUUAUACCAUUUUGGGACUGCUCUUCUCAAUUUUUUGGAUUCACGGGUUUGGGAUGAUGAAAACGGGAGAUUCACGUAGGCUAGGGGAUAGCAGUGGUGGCAGAGACGGCCAGCUAUGGUGGUCAGAGCUUUCUGGUUUUGGUGAUGGUGGAGGAGAGAUGUGGAGAAGUGAGAGGAAAGGGAAGACUGGGUGAAGGUGGAGGAGAGAGGUGGAGAAGUGAGAGGAAAGGGCAGACUAUUUUGGGAAAGGAAGAUGGAGACUAAGUUUUUUUUGGAAAAUGGGAAGGCACGCGUGACUGAAUUUUUGGGAAAUAAAAAAAAAUCUAAUGUAUUAAUAUGUUGACUCAAAUACGGGCCGUCCGAUCAUUUAAUCGGGCGGUCUAGGUUUUAAUUUAAGAAAUAAAAUAAGUAAUAAAUUUUAUAUAUAUAUCAAAGCCGUAAGAUUCUAGGAGACUUUAUUAUAUGAAUUAUUU